GGGCCUGUAGUAUAGCGGUAACACGUGACUAUGGCAUAGUCAAGUCCGGGGUCCGACUCCCCGCAGGUCCACCA
rnacentral:tRNA from 1 species